GAAAAAUGAUUGCUUAUUGCACCACAUGUGUUUUUUAUUGAACAAAUUUCUUUGGUGGCGGGAGCAAUCCUACCGCCAGAGGUUAUAACUAAACCAAACUUUUUAUUUACAGUCAAACUUGAUUUAUUAUUACAAUAGUCAAAACUUUCAACAACGGAUCUCUUGGUUCUCGCAUCGAUGAAGAACGCAGCGAAAUGCGAUACGUAAUAUGAAUUGCAGAUAUUCGUGAAUCAUCGAAUCUUUGAACGCACAUUGCGCCCUUUGGUAUUCCAAAGGGCAUGCCUGUUUGAGCGUCAUUUCUCCCUCAAACCCCCGGGUUUGGUGUUGAGCAAUACGCUAGGUUUGUUUGAAAGAAUUUAACGUGGAAACUUAUUUUAAGCGACUUAGGUUUAUCCAAAAACGCUUAUUUUGCUAGUGGCCACCACAAUUUAUUUCAUAACUUUGACCUCAAAUCAGGUAGGACUACCCGCUGAACUUAAGCAUAUCAAAAGCCGGAGGAA
rnacentral:rRNA from 1 species